AGAGCUUGAUCAUGGCUCAGAGUGAACGCUGGCGGCGUGGAUUAGGCAUGCAAGUCGAGCGAUCUCGCAAGAGAUAGCGGCAAACGGGUGAGGAACACGUGAAUAAUCUUCCUUAAAGUCUGACACAGCUUCGUGAAAACGGAGGUAAUUUCGGAUGUUGUUAUUGCAUCGCAUGGUGCGAUAACCAAAGAUGGGGACCUUCGGGCCUAUCGCUUUAAGAUGAGUUCGCGUCCUAUCAGCUAGUUGGUGAGGUAAUGGCUCACCAAGGCUUAUGACGGGUAGCUGGUCUGAGAGGAUGGUCAGCCACACUGGGACUGAGACACUGCCCAGACUCCUACGGGAGGCUGCAGUCGAGAAUCUUUAGCAAUGGACGAAAGUCUGACUAUGCGACGCCGCGUGCAGGAUGAAGGUUUUCGGAUUGUAAACUGCUUUUGUUAGGGAAGAAACUACCGACUAUAACAUAGUCGGAACUGACGGUACCUGACGAAUAAGCCACGGCCAACUCCGUGCCAGCAGCCGCGGUAAUACGGAGGUGGCGAGCGUUACUCGGAAUCAUUGGGUGUAAAGGGCAGGUAGGCGGUCUAUUAAGUGAGGGGUGAAAUCUCCCGGCUCAAUCGGGAAACUGCCUCUCAAACUGAUAGACUUGAGUGUGAUAGGGGUAAGCGGAAUUAGCAGUGUAAGGGUGAAAUCUGUAGAUAUUGCUAAGAACACCAGCGGCGAAGGCGGCUUACUGGAUCACAACUGACGCUGAUCUGCGAAAGCUAGGGUAGCAAACAGAAUUAGAUACUCUGGUAGUCCUAGUCGUAAACGAUGAAUACUAGGUGUUGGACCGUAAGGUUCAGUGCCGCAGCUAACGCAUUAAGUAUUCCACCUGGGGACUACGACCGCAAGGUUAAAACUCAAAGGAAUUGACGGGGACCCGCACAAGCGGUGGAACAUGUGGUUUAAUUCGAUGCUACGCGAAAAACCUCACCCAGGCUUGACAUACAAGUAGUAGUGAACUGAAAGGGGAACGACCCGUUAAGUCGGGAACUUGAACAGGUGCUGCAUGGCUGUCGUCAGCUCGUGUCGUGAGAUGUUGGGUUAAGUCCCGCAACGAGCGCAACCAUUGCCCUAUGUUGCUAGUUUAUUGUCUUCGGAUGAUAAGCGCACUCUUAGGGGACUGCUCGGGAUAACCGGGAGGAAGGUGGAGAUGACGUCAAGUCAGUACGGCCUUUAUGCCUGGGGCUACACACGUGUUACAAUGGAUGGUACAAAGGGUUGCCAACCCGCGAGGGGGAGCUAAUCUCAAAAAACCAUCCCCAGUUCGGAUAACAGUCUGCAAUUCGACUGUUUGAAGCCGGAAUCGCUAGUAAUGGGGGAUCAAAAUGCCCCCGUGAAUACGUUCCCGGGUCUUGUACACACCGCCCGUCAAGCGAUGAAAGCCGGGAGUACCCGAAGUCCUAUGUAGGUAGGCCGAAGGUAAAAUCGGUGAUUGGCGCUAAGUCGUAACAAGGUA
rnacentral:rRNA from 1 species